rnacentral:rRNA from 1 species
UACGGAAGGUGCAAGCGUUAUCCGGAUUUAUUGGGUUUAAAGGGUCCGUAGGCGGACUAGUAAGUCAGUGGUGAAAUCCUGCAGCUCAACUGUAGAACUGCCAUUGAUACUGCUAGUCUUGAAUUCGGUUGAAGUGGGCGGAAUAUGGCAUGUAGCGGUGAAAUGCUUAGAUAUGCCAUAGAACACCGAUUGCGUAGGCAGCUCACUAAGCCUGGAUUGACGCUGAGGGACGAAAGCGUGGGGAGCGAACAGGAUUAGAUACCCUGGUAGUCCACGCCGUAAACGAUGAUUACUCGACAUUAGCGAUACACGGUUAGUGUCAUAAGCGAAAGCAUUAAGUAAUCCACCUGGGGAGUACGAUCGCAAGAUUGAAACUCAAAGGAUUGAACGGGGGGCCCGCACAAGCGGUGGGAGCAUGUGGUUUAAUUCGAUGAUACGCGAAGAACCUUACCAGGCUUGAAAGUUAGUGACGAAGUGUGAAAGCAUCUUUCUCUUCGGAGCACGAAACUANGUUGCUGCAUGGCUGUCGUCAGCUCCUGCCCGUGAGGUGU